GCGGAGGGCGUUGCAGCCGGAACCGUGACUAUCGGUGCUCGUCGGUUUUGGUAUCAGUGUUCCACCCCCGCGCGAUACGCUCGCUAUGGCAGCUCCGGCGCCCUUGCGGGGUCUUCUCCUGGCUGUCAACACACUGCUGCGCAAGCGCCGCUACCACGCUGCGUUGGCCGUGCUUAAAGGCUUCCGGAACGGGGCUGUCUAUGGAGCCAAAAUCCGGGCCCCUCAUGCACUCGUCAUGACUUUUCUCUUCCGGAGUGGCAGCCUCCGAGAGAAGCUUCGGGCUAUCCUGCAGGCCACAUACACCCACUCUUCUAACCUGGCCUGCUUCGUGUUCACCUACAAGGGGCUCUGUGCCCUGCAGUCCCGUGUGCAGGGCAGGACCUACCAGGUGCACUCAUUCCUGGCUGCCUUCAUUGGAGGCUUUCUGGUGUUUGGAGAGAACAAUAACAUCAACAGCCAGAUCCACAUGUACCUGUUGUCACGCGUCCUGUUUGCCCUGUGCCGCCUGGGAGUGGAGAAGGGCUACAUUCCCAAACCCAAGCGGGACCCUUUCGCACUGAUCAACGCAGUAGUGUGGGGCCUGAUUCUGUGGCUCUUUGAGUACCAUCGGCCUACGCUGCAGCCCUCACUGCAAUCCUCCAUGACCUACUUAUAUGAGGACAGCAAUGUGUGGCACGACAUCUCAGAUUUCCUCCUCUACAACAAGAGACGUCCCUCGAAGUAACGCAGCCCUGAAGUGCUUACAGGGGCUUCUACCCAAGUAGGCUCUAGGCGGUGUCCAGCUGUGGCUUGAGAUUGGCUCCAUGAGUGAAACCUCCCAGAGGAUCCUGCUUUCUCAAGAUCAUGGCUCUCAGACUCUAACUUUUAUUAUCCCAGGGUUCCAUUGUGCAAAGCAAAAGCACCAGUUUUCCGAUCCUAUUAGGUAUUCUUGAAUGGUGGAACGAGUGGCUGAAUCAGGCUUGAGGAGCUUUGGGCAUGGUUCCAGCUGUGCUGCCGGCUUCUGUGAGACCAGGGAAAGGUGCCCCCACCUAGGCCUCAGGGGUCAUGGAGCUCAGAGGAGGGCCCUGAAAUCUCUUUCUGCUGGAACAUUCCUUUGCGGAAACUAUUCGGAUGAUUCAGAAGGCUUUUGGGGAUGAUUCAGUGAGUGCAGAGCAAAUAAAAGUGUGUCACAAACACUUUGAAGAUGGUUGAGAGUGUGCUGAAAGUGAUCCACGUUCUGGAAGGCCUGCAACAAGCAGAACACCUGAGAAUGUUGAAUGUGUACAGGCUGCAGUCAACAAAGAUCAGCAAUUGACAGUGCGAGAACUAGAAGCUGAUCUGGGUAUUCCAAAAACUACCGUGUCUGAGAUUUUGAUGCAGGAUCGUGGCAUAAAACGUGUCAUGGCAAAAUUCGUUCCACAGCUUCUGCUACCAGAGCAGAAGGAACAUUGUGCUGCAGUUGCUAAUGACUUGAUUCACACUGCUACCAAUGAACCAGACUUCCUCAAGAAGGUCAUACUGGAGAUGAAUCAUUGGUCUAUGACUAUGAUCCAGAAACAAAGGCCUAGUUGUCCCAAUAGAAGUUGCCUGGUUUUCCGUGCCUGAAGAAGACGCAGCAAAGUCACAGCAAGAUCAAGACCACGUUAACUGUGUUUUUUGAUUGGGAAGGUAUCGUCAUCAUGAGUACGCCCCUCCAGGUCAAACAAUUGGUAAGGAGUACCACCUCAAUGUUCUUUGUUAGUCGAGAGAUGCAAUAUAACAAAAACAGCUGUAGCUGUGGGCAACUGGUGAUUGGCAGCUUCGACAUGACAGUGUGCCCGCCUGUUCGUGCAUCAUAUCUCAUGCAGAGUUUUUUUGCGAAACAUCAAACUACCCAGCCCUCUACAGCCCAGAUUUGGUGCUCUGCAACCUCUAGCUUUUCCCAAUACCUAAAAUCACCUUUGAAAGGGAAGAGAUUUGAGACCAUUGAUGAGAUUCAGGAAAAUACGACAGGGCAGCUGAUGGCGAUUCCAGCAAAGGAUUUUGCAGAGUGUUUUGAACCGUGGAAGAGAUGCUGGGAGAACUGUGUGAUGUCCCAGGUGCCUACUUUGAAGGGGACUGGGCGUUGUCCUAUGUACAAUAUUUCUUGUAUCUUUUUUUUAAAAGAUUUUUUAAAAUUUAUUUUUAGAGAAAGAGAAAGGGAGGGAGAAAGAGAGGGAGAGAAAAACUGAUGUGUUGCAUGCACCCAACUGAGGACCUGGCCCACAACCCAGGCCUGUGCCCUGACUGGGAAUCAAACAAGUGAUCUUUCAGUUCACGGGCCAGCGCUCAAUCCACUGAGCCACACCAGCCAAGGCUGUUUGUUGUAUCUUGUGUCUUCUUCAAUAAAUCUCUAUUUUUCAUAAUGCAUGGCUGUAUACUUUCUGGACCAACCUCUUCUAUGUAUGUGUAUAUAUAAUGUCUUUCCCAAUACAUACAUGUUUAUAAUCAAGUUUAAUUUCUCAGUUAUACACAGUAAGAGAUUAACAAUAACUUAUAAGAUAGAACAAUUUUAAUAAUAUACUGCAAUAAAAGAUAUCUCAAUAUGGUUCUCUCCAAUAAUUUUUAUAUUUUUUUAUUCCAAGUCUAUUCCUGAAUCUGUGUAACCAUCCCUUACCUGCAGUAAAUGGUUUGGUGUCAGGCAUUUCAGGAAAUCCCCUCUGAAGUCUGCAGAUAGGCUUCAAGCUUUCUGGUGCAACACAUUGUCAUCAGUUGGAACACGUUUUCCAUUCAUGUCUUCCACCCACAAAUUUAAUACCUUUUACAACUUAACAAAGCGUUUAAGCACAGUGGCCAUAACUUUUGCAGUCUGAGGUGCAACAGCAGAACAGAAACAAAUUUCUUUUUCCUUCUUCACAACUUUUUGGAUAGAAGAUUCAUUCUUACCAUAGAUCUUGG